AGAUACUCUUGUGAAGGGACCUUGAAAGCGCGUGCCUGGGUCUGGCCGGUGACGAUUCUCCCAUUUUUCCCGCAGCUUCCUUGCAUCAUCGGUCCUGAAGGAACGGACGACCUCCCUGUGUGCUGGGCAGGGCGUCGUGGUUCGGCAGAGCAGGCCACGGAUGGAUGGAUGGAUGGAUGGAUGGAUGGGUGGGUGGCAGCACUCCAUCCUCUCCUGCAGGUCAGAGCACCUGCUCACCCCUCUCCUUUCUGCCUUGUGGGGUGGGGUGCUGAGCUCUGGCCCAAGGUCCAACUGCCCGGCUGGCGUGUGGAUCUCACAGGCGUCCCCUCCAGCUCCUUCUGCCUCUGGCUGGGGGUCUGGGCUCUUGACUUCUCAGGCGCUUGAGGGUUGCAGCCAAAGGGGAGUACCAGCUGCAGCCUCUUGCCCUCUGCAUCCCCCCCGGAGAGACACACCCGCUCCAGUGGCGAGCCAGACGUCAAGAUUCUUGCUUCAAGAACCUUCCCCACAAGUGCGCCUCGCUUGGGAUUUCAAACCAUUUACCUUCUAUCCCGCGUCUCUGUCAAGAGCUUGGACUCUGUGGCCCCAUGGCCUGGGGCAGUUACCUAACCUCCCAAGGCCUCAGUUUCCUCAUCUGCAAAACAGCGAUGGCGGUGGAGGUAGGCGUGAGAAGUAUCUUCCUCAUCCAGGAGUUUUCGAGAGAGCGCAGAUUUGGCUGCUUCACUUGGCUUGAAUCCACCUUCUAAUUUGGGGCCGGCCGUUCAUCGGUAGCCGAGAACAAGUGACUCUGAAGGCCACUGGGAGGGACCGUGUGUCGAAUGAUUGACUCAUCAUCCGGCGUUUAUGGAGCCGACACCUGGGUUUGGCACAUGGCCGCAGGGGAGUGUCCGACAGGCGUCCAGCCUUGGGGGCAGACCAGCGCAGACACCUGUAAAACCCUGUGGUUUCACUGGCAGAGGAUGGAUGCACGAAGUGUGGUCUAUCCACACAGAGAACUAGGAUUCAGGUUAAAAAGGAAGGAAGCGCCAAGCCAGGCUACACGGUGGGUGACGCUUAAGGACUUUAUGCUCGUUGAAAUAAGCCGGUCACAGAACAGACACUGCAGGUGCCACUUAACCAAGGAAAGCAGCCGAAUUCACAGAGACACAAAAGAAUGGGGGUCGCUGGGAGGAGGGGGAUGGGCAGUUCCUGCUCCUUGGUGUCCUGGACUGAUGAGUUGUGUCCCCUCCAGAUUCUUAUGCAGAAGCCCAACCCCCAGUGGGACUGUAAUUGGAGAUGGGCCUCAGGGAGGGGACCCAGUGAACCCAGACGGUGAGGGUGGGGCCCUCAGAGGACCCUCCCCCUCCCUUUCUCUCUCUCUCCCCCUCCCCCUUCCCUCCCUCUCUCUCUCUCCCCUCUUCUUCCUCCCUCCCCCCUUCUCCCUCCCUCCCUUCUCUCCCUCCCCCUCCCCAUGCAGGAGCAGAGAAAAGCCCACUCCAGGACUGGGGCGGGAAGGGAGCCACGUUUUCUACAAGCCAGAAAAAAGUCCCCAGCAGACACCUUCCUGACAGCACUUUGAUCUUGGCCUUCCAGCCCUGGAACUGUGAGAAGGUCACUGCCUUGGUUUAAGCCUCCCUGUCUGUGCCAUUUGUCACAGCGGCCAGAAGACCAAGGCAGCGGGGUGGAAUUUCCAUCCAAGAUGGUGGGAAGGUGAGAACGUUCUGGAGAGGAAGGCGGUGCUGGCUGCACAGCAGUGGGAACUACUUACCGCCACCUCGCUGUGCCCCAGAGUGUUCAGAUGGCACGUUUUGUGUGGGUGUAUUUUGCCACAAUAAAGAAGCCACA
rnacentral:lncRNA from 1 species